AGGGAGGGUGUGCCAACCUCUCGAUAAAAAGAUUUGUCUCUGCACGCUCUGCUGAAAUCCCUCCAACUAUCUCAUCUUAACCUACACAACUUUUCACACAGUUGUGCCAACAUGGCUAAACAAGGGCUGCAGUUGCUUGAGGCCUGCUUCAACCAACAGGCUAAAGAAAAGGAUCACAAAAGAGUGUUGACCAAGGCAGAACUUGCUGAGCUGCUCCACAAAGAGUUUGACGAGGAAGGGCCAAACAAAGCCGAGAUGGAGGAGUUCUACAGAAAGCUGGAUAAAGAUGGCAAUGGUGUUGUUACUUUCAAGGAGUAUGUCAAUUACAUAAUGACCAUCAGUGACAUUCUUGGUGCAAUGAGAAAUAAUUAAUUUGGGUGCAGGGCCUCAGCCUUUCUUGCCUUGUUUAAUUUGAAAGUGAGUAAUACAUUUUGCAGCAGCAUUUCAGUCACAGCCGUAGAAAAUACAUGUCAUUAUUACAUGUUUGGAGAAGGACAACUUUGUUAAUAACAGAUAAACCAUAGAUUUGCUGUUUGGUAGGCUUAAGAGACUUGAUGUGUGCUGAUUUUGAGUAUUUCACUGAAUGUGACAUACACUAUAUGGACAAAAGUUUUGGGCCACACCUUUUAAUCAUUGAAUUCAGGUGUGUCAUUCAGUUGCAUUGCCACAGGUCUAUAAAAUCUGGAUGAAUGGGCAAAAAUUCCCACACUUUUUCAGACACACUGAAAAAUCUUGCAGAAAGCCUUCCCAGAAGACUGAAAGCUGUUAUAUAGCCACCAUUUGUAUUUUUAUUUUCAACACAAUUAAAUAGGAUAGAUAGGUUUUUAUUUUCACAUUUGUUUUCAUCAGAUAAGUUCAACAGCUCUGGGUUUUCUUGUUUUUGUUGUAUUCAUGUCUUUGAUUUUCAGCAGCCACCGCAAGCCCUUCCUGUUGUAGUUUUGCCUCACCCUUUUGUUGUCAAAUUAAUCCUAAUUUCCUGGUUAAGAAAUAUCUUUAAUUUACCAAAAAUAAUUGGUUUUACAUUGCAUUGCUUUAAAAGGAUUCUUCUUUAAAACUGUUGUAUCUUUGAAUAAAGUAUGUUUAAAAAUGACAGAAAAACAUCUUAAAUGAACUUUAAAAAACCUUUACUACCCAACAGCUUUGGGGGGCAGGGGAGUGUGAAUCAUUUUGAAAUACGUCCUGACUUUACACAGUGUCUCAUCUAGGUGGUACAAUAAUGAUGAUAAUAAAUUAACUCUUUAGCAAAGUUUAAAUGGCAAUCACAAAAUAAAUAUAUUUAAAACA